rnacentral:sRNA from 12 species
CCCUAGCCGGGAGGGGCCGCAAGGCAUAGCCCGGAUGCGCAUCAGUCGGCCAGUGGCGCAUUCAUGAAAAACCCCGACAGCC